rnacentral:rRNA from 1 species
UACGUAGGCAGCGAGCGUUGUUCGGAAUUACUGGGCGUAAAGAGUGUGUAGGCGGUGCUCUAAGUUCGGUGUGAAAUCUCCUGGCUCAACUGGGAGGGUGCGCCGGAAACUGGAGUGCUUGAGCGUGGGAGAGGAAGGUGGAAUUCCACGUGUAGCGGUGAAAUGCGUAGAGAUGUGGAGGAACACCGAUGGCGAAGGCAGCCUCCUGGGCCAACACUGACGCUCAUGCACGAAAGCGUGGGGAGCAAACAGG